CAGAGAGCCCUCUACAGGGAGGUCAUGCAGGAGAACUGUGAGAAUGUGACCUCGCUGGGGUUUCCAGUUUCCCAACCCUCUGUGAUCUUCCAGCUGGAAGGAGGGGAAGAGCCAUGGGUCCUGGCUCUCCCUGGUUCAGUUGAAAGCGAGAUCCUGGGAAGUCCCUGCACAGGUUUGUUUUCCCCCUAUCGCUGCAUGAUGACAUGAAGAAAAUUCAAAUGCAGUUCAGUCAACAGGAGAGAAUACUCCAAGCUGUUGGACAUAUUAU